rnacentral:rRNA from 1 species
UAUGUAGGCGGACCAGAAAGUCAGGAGUGAAAUCCCGGGGCUCAACCCCGGAACUGCUCUUGAAACUUCUGGCCUAGAAUCCUGGAGAGGUUGGGAGAAUUCCUAGUGUAGAGGUGAAAUUCGCAGAUAUUAGGAGGAAUACCAGUGGCGUAGGCGCCCAACUGGACAGGUAUUGACGCUCAGAUACGAAAGCGUGGGGAGCAAACA